rnacentral:rRNA from 1 species
GUAACAGGAAGUGCUUGCACUUCGCUGACGACCGGCGCACGGGUGAGUAUCGCGUAUACAAUCUGCCUCAUACUAGGGAAUAGCCCGAAGAAAUUUGGAUUAAUGCCCUAUAGUAUCUUUUUAAGGCAUCUUAUUAAGAUUAAAGGUUACGGUAUGAGAUGAGUAUGCGUUCUAUUAGCUAGUAGGUGUGGUAACGGCACACCUAGGCUACGAUAGAUAGGGGCCCUGAGAGGGGGAUCCCCCACACUGGUACUGAGACACGGACCAGACUCCUACGGGAGGCAGCAGUAAGGAAUAUUGGUCAAUGGACGAAAGUCUGAACCAGCCAUGCCGCGUGCAGGAUGACUGCCCUAUGGGUUGUAAACUGCUUUUAUAUAGGAAGAAAAACUUUCUCGUGAGAAAGCUUGACGGUACUAUAAGAAUAAGGAUCGGCUAACUCCGUGCCAGCAGCCGCGGUAAUACGGAGGAUCCAAGCGUUAUCCGGAAUCAUUGGGUUUAAAGGGUCCGUAGGUGGACAAAUAAGUCAGAGGUGAAAUCCUGCAGCUCAACUGUAGAACUGCCUUUGAUACUGUUUGUCUUGAGUUAUUAUGAAGUGGUUAGAAUGUGUAGUGUAGCGGUGAAAUGCAUAGAUAUUACACAGAAUACCGAUUGCGAAGGCAGAUCACUAAUAAUUAACUGACACUGAUGGACGAAAGCGUGGGUAGCGAACAGGAUUAGAUACCCUGGUAGUCCACGCCGUAAACGAUGGUCACUAGCUGUUUGGACUUCGGCCUGAGUGGCUAAGCGAAAGUGAUAAGUGACCCACCUGGGGAGUACGUUCGCAAGAAUGAAACUCAAAGGAAUUGACGGGGGCCCGCACAAGCGGUGAGCAUGUGUUUAAUUCGAUGAUACGCGAGGAACCUUACCAGGGCUUAAAUGUUAGUGACAGAUCUAGGAUAGAUUUUUCUUCGGACACUUACAGUGCUGCAUGAUGUCGUCAGCUCGUGCGUGAGUGUCAGUAAGUCUAUACGAGCGCACCCUGUGUAGUGCAGCGAGUAUGUCGGACUCUAGCAGACUGCAGUGCAACUGUAGAGUGAUGACGUCAAUCAUACCGGCCCUACGUCUGGCUCAACCUGCUAAUGUAUGCCAUGGACGCCCUACGGGUAGAGGACUUAAACAAUUCAGUCGGAUCGGAGUCGCCCUCGACUCCUGGGACUGAAUCCUAAAUCGGUAUAAACACAUUCUCGGAAUAAAAUUUCUCGCCCCGA